UCCGUUUGAUCCUGCCAGAGGUUACUGCUAUCGAGGUUCGACUAAGCCAUGCGAGUCGAAUGUAGCAAUACAUGGCGUACUGCUCAGUAACACGUGGACAACCUACCCUCAGGACAGGUAUAAACCCGGGAAACUGGGUAUAAUCCCUGAUAGUCCUCGAAAGCUGGAAUGCAUCGAGGACGAAAGCUCCGGCGCCUGAGGAUGGGUCUGCGGCCUAUCAGGUAGUAGUGGGUGUAACGUACCUACUAGCCUACGACGGGUACGGGUUGUGAGAGCAAGAGCCCGGAGAUGGAUUCUGAGACACGAAUCCAGGCCCUACGGGGUGCAGCAGGCGCGAAAACUUUACAAUGCCGGCAACGGCGAUAAGGGGACCUCGAGUGCCAGGUUACAAAUCUGGCUGGCGUGAUGCCUAAAAAGCAUUGCAUAGCAAGGGCCGGGCAAGACCGGUGCCAGCCGCCGCGGUAACACCGGCGCUCGAGUGGUAACCGUUAUUAUUGGGUCUAAAGGGUCUGUAGCCGGCCGGAUAAGUCUCUUGGGAAAUCCAGCAGCUCAACUGUUGGGCUUUCAGGAGAUACUGUUCGGCUCGAGGCCGGGAGAGGUAGAGGUACUUCAGGGGUAGGGGUGAAAUCUUGUAAUCCUUGAAGGACCACCAGUGGCGAAGGCGUCUCACCAGAACGGACCUGACGGCAAGGGACGAAAGCUAGGGGCACGAACCGGAUUAGAUACCCGGGUAGUCCUAGCCGUAAACGAUACUCGCUAGGUGUCGGCCACGGUGCGACCGUUGUCGGUGCCGUAGGGAAGCCGUGAAGCGAGCCACCUGGGAAGUACGGCCGCAAGGCUGAAACUUAAAGGAAUUGGCGGGGGAGCACCACAACGGGUGGAGCUUGCGGUUUAAUUGGAUUCAACGCCGGAAAUCUUACCGGGACCGACAGCGAUAUGAAGGCCAGGCUGAAGACUUUGCCGGAUUAGCUGAGAGGUGGUGCAUGGCCGUCGUCAGUUCGUACUGUGAAGCAUCCUGUUAAGUCAGGCAACGAGCGAGACCCA
rnacentral:rRNA from 1 species